UCCACAACCACCCCAGGGUCCACCAUGAGCACCUCUGGGACCAACCCAACCACCUCAAGUACCACCUCUUCCACCUCAGAGACCACCAUGAGCUCCUCAGGGACCACCACCAGCACCCCAGGGACCCAAACAACCAUCUCGGGGACCACCACAAUCACCCCAGUGACCACCACGACCAUGCCAGUGACCACCUCCUCCACCUCAGGGACCUCCACAACCACCUCUGGGACCAUCCCAACCACCUCGGAGACCACCAAGACCACCUCAAAGACCUCCACAACCACCUCAGGUGUCACCACAAUCUCCUCAGGAGCCACCACAGCCAUCCCAGGGACCACCUCCACCAGCUCCGGGACCACUCCAACCACUCCAUUGACCACCACAAGCAACCCAGGGACCACCUCCUUCACUUCUGGGACCACCACAACCAACCCAGGGAUCACCACAACCAUUACAUGGACCUCCACGACCACCUCCGGGACCACCCCAAUGUCCUCAGGGACCACCACAACCAACUCUGAGACCACCACAACAAUCCCGGGUACCACCACGACCACUCCAGAGACCACCACGACCACUCCAGGAACCACCAUGACCAACUCGGGGACCACCCCUACCACUUCAGGGACCACCACGUCCACCUCUGGGACCACCACGGUCAUCUCAGCGACCACCACAGCCACCCCAUGGACCACCUCCUCCACCUCAGGGACCAUCCCAACCACCUCUGCGACCACCCUAACAACCUCAGGGUCCACCACGACCACCUCAGGGUCCACCACAACCAGCCCUGGGACCACCACCUCCACAUCAGGGACCACCACGACCACACCAGGGACCAUCACAACCUCCUCGGGGACCACCUCCACCUCUGCGACCACCCCAGCCACCUCUGAGACCAUCCAAACAACCUCAGGGUCCACCACAAGCACCCCAGGAACAUCUACAACCAUCCCAAGUACCACCACAACCACCUCAGGGUCCAGCACAACCAACUCUGUGACCACCACGACCGUCCCUGGUAUCACCACGACCACCCCAGUGACCACCAAAACCACCGCAGCAACCACCUCUUCCAGCCCCUGGACCACCGCAACCACCCCAGGGACCACCACGACCAUCCCAGGGACCUCCAUGACCUCCUCAGGGACCACCACAACCAACUCUGGGACAACCACGUCCACUGCAGGUACCACCACAACCAUUACAGGGACCUCCACGACCUCAUCAGGGACCACCUCCUCCACCCCAUGGACCACCACAACCAUCCCAGGGACCACCACGACUAUCCCAGGGAUCAUCACGACCCUUACAGAGACCACCACGACCACCCCAUGGACCACCACAAUCAUCUCAGGGACCACUACGACCACCCUGGGUGCCACCACGACCACCCCAAGGACCACGUCCUCCACCUCUGGGACCGCCACAACAAACUUAGGUACCACCACAGCCCUCCCGGGUACCACCAUGACCCCCCCAGUGACCUCCACAGUCACCUCAGGGACCACCACGACCACUCCAGGGACCACGUCCUCCACCCCAGGGACCUCCACAACCAUCUCAGGGACCUCCACGACCAACUCUGGGACCCCCAUCACAAUCCCAGGUAUCACCACGGCCACUCCAGGGACCACCACAACCACCUCAGUGACCUCCUCGAGCACCCAGAGGACCUCCACAGCAAUGUCCACCACUCCAGGGACCACCCCAACCACCCUUUGGACCACCACUGCUCCUCCUUUAGGGCUGUGUGAGAACGGGGGGACUUUUGCUGGCACCGGUUGUCUCUGCAGCCCGUCCUACGCCGGUCCACGCUGCGAGUUCUCCACCGACACCGUGGAGACCAACCUGCGUGAGUGGUGGCC
ensembl:lncRNA